AGUGAACCUUGUUUGAAGUGAAAAUCCUUGUAAGCGAGGGUUCGGCUUGCAAGAUUGCAACGGAUAGCGGGACGAUAU
rnacentral:sRNA from 1 species